rnacentral:rRNA from 1 species
CAGCCGCCGCGGGAAAACGUAGGGUGCGAGCGUUAAUCGGAACUACUGGGCGUAAAGCGUGCGUAGGCGGUGAGUUAAGUCUGCUGUGAAAUCCCCGGGCUCAACCUGGGAAUGGCAGUGGAUACUGGCUCGCUAGAGUGUGUCAGAGGAUGGUGGAAUUCCCGGUGUAGCGGUGAAAUGCGUAGAGAUCAGGAGGAACAUCAGUGGCGAAGGCGGCCAUCUGGGACAACACUGACGCUGAAGCACGAAAGCGUGGGGAGCAAACAGGAUUAGAUACCCCGGUAGUCCCUGUCUCUUAUAC